AGGUGGCUUUUCUACAAUAUAAAGAUGGAAAUGGGAUGAAGGUGUUCAUUGCAAAUUAGGAAAGGCCUUCUACGAGUUCACCAAUGGAAAUAAAAUCAAGAGUUUUUCAUCUUCUUAGUGGACAAAUAAAUGGAUAUUCUGUGUGUGAGCUUCAGGAGUAUCUAAGAGAGGCAAUAACGUGGUUAAGAAUAUACCACAGACUACAAACUGUCAGUGCAUCUCAGAGGAACAGGAAGCUUGUGCGGGUGAAAAUACUGGAGGAGGAAGUAUGCUGAUGAUGCCCAGAAAGUCCACCUUCCACUUCUUUGGUCAUCAGAAGUAAGACAAAGGACAAUUAAAGGAGUGGUUAAUAGUUGUUUAGAGAAAGAGAAGUUUCACUUCAUAUGUCAGUCAUUGAUAAUAUUUAACAUAGUGCUUGCUGUUAAGUAAGUUUCUUCCUGUGGGUCUGUGAGAAGACAUAGUACAUGAAAGAGGCAGUGCUUUCACCCUGAUUAUCAUUAUACAGUAUGAACUUUUAUUAUAUAACAAGUAAUACUUGUAUUUUGUUAUUCACUUAUUUGUUACUAUAUGCUUAUACAUAUGCAGACACAGUAAUAUACAUCUAAGUGGUACAAACAGGUACAAAAACAAAAAUAAAUGUCUUUUGCUUUCUAAUUU